rnacentral:lncRNA from 1 species
UCAAAUUCCCUACAAUUGGUAUCAGAGCUGAAGGUUUUAGUGGUGUUUGAUUUUUUGCUCAAAAAUGCAAAUUGUCAAAAUGAAGUUUUGACCAUACCAUCGUGUAGAGGAGGACGAUACGAAGCCACUGGUGAAAACGGCGUCAAAAUCGGACGUCGGACAUGGCCGCACUCUCCAUCACUCUCUGGCAAGGCGUUUGCCCACGCGCACAGACGCGCCCCACGCGUCUUCUUCACCCGGAU